CCGACCAUACCAUGCUGAAAACACCGAUUCUCCUACGAUCACCAAAAUUAAGCAUCAUCGGGUGCUGUCAGUACUAAGAAAGGUGACCACCUGGAAACAUCGGGUGCCGUUG